rnacentral:rRNA from 1 species
UCUACGGGAGGCAGCAGUGGGGGAUAUUGCACAAUGGGGGAAACCCUGAUGCAGCGACGCCGCGUGGGUGAAGAAGUAUUUCGGUAUGUAAAGCCCUAUCAGCAGGGAAGAAAGAAGACGGUACCUGACUAAGAAGCCCCGGCUAACUACGUGCCAGCAGCCGCGGUAAUACGUAGGGGGCGAGCGUUAUCCGGAUUCACUGGGUGGAAAGGGAGCGUAGACGGCCGUGCAAGCCAGGAGUGAAAGCCCGGGGCCCACCCCCGGGACUGCUCUUGGAACUGUGCGGCUGGAGUGCGGGAGGGGCAGGCGGAAUUCCUGGUGUAGCGGUGAAAUGCGUAGAGAUCAGGAGGAACACCGGCGGCGAAGGCGGCCUGCUGGACCGCGACUGACGUUGAGGCUCGAAAGCGUGGGGAGCGAACAGGAUUAGAUACCCCAGUAGUC